UAGGGAAUCUUCGGCAAUGGGGGCAACCCUGACCGAGCAACGCCGCGUGAGUGAAGAAGGUUUUCGGAUCGUAAAGCUCUGUUGUAAGUCAAGAACGAGUGUGAGAGUGGAAAGUUCACACUGUGACGGUAGCUUACCAGAAAGGGACGGCUAACUACGUGCCAGCAGCCGCGGUAAUACGUAGGUCCCGAGCGUUGUCCGGAUUUAUUGGGCGUAAAGCGAGCGCAGGCGGUUAGAAAAGUCUGAAGUGAAAGGCAGUGGCUCAACCAUUGUAGGCUUUGGAAACUGUUUAACUUGAGUGCAGAAGGGGAGAGUGGAAUUCCAUGUGUAGCGGUGAAAUGCGUAGAUAUAUGGAGGAACACCGGUGGCGAAAGCGGCUCUCUGGUCUGUAACUGACGCUGAGGCUCGAAAGCGUGGGGAGCGAACAGGAUUAGAUACCCUGGUAGUCCACGCCGUAAACGAUGAGUGCUAGGUGUUAGGUCCUUUCCGGGACUUAGUGCCGUAGCUAACGCAUUAAGCACUCCGCCUGGGGAGUACGACCGCAAGGUUG
rnacentral:rRNA from 1 species